CCGCCGCGGGAACACCGGCAGCUCUAGUGGUAGCUGUUUUAUUGGGCCUAAAGCGUUCGUAGCCGGUUUAAUAAGUCUCUGGUGAAAAUCCUAUAAGGCUUAAACGUGUGGGGAACUUGCUGGAGAUACUAUUAGACUUGAGAUCGGGAGAGGUCAGAGGUACUCCUGGGGUAGGGGUGAAAUCCUGUAAUCCUAGGGAGGACCACCUGUGGCGAAGGCGUCUGACCAGAACGAAUCUGACGGUGAGGAACGAAAGCUAGGGGCGCGAACCGGAUUAGAUACCCGGGUAGUCCUAGCCGUAAACGUAUGCGGACUUGGUGUGAGGGUGGCUUUGAGCCGUCCUGGUGCCGAAGGGAAGCUGUUAAGUCCGCCGCCUGGGAAGUACGGUCGCAAGACUGAAACUUAAAGGGAAUUGGCGGGGGAGCACCACAACGCGUGGAGCCUGCGGUUUAAUUGGAUUCAACGCCGGAGAUCUCACCAGCGGCGACAGCAGUAUGAUGACCAGGUUGAUGACUUUGUUUGACAAGCUGAGAAGUGGUGCAUGG
rnacentral:rRNA from 1 species